UUACAGCCAUAUCACGUUGAAACACCAGUUUUUGUACGAUCACCGAAGUUAAGCAACGUUGAACCUGAUCAGUACCUAGAUGAGUAACCACCUAGGAAUACCACAUGUGGC